rnacentral:rRNA from 1 species
GGGUUUGGCUGUUCGCCAAUUAAAGUGGUACGCGAGCUGGGUUUAAAACGUCGUGAGACAGUUUGGUCCCUAUCUGCCGUGGGCGUAGGAGAAUUGAGAGGAUCUGUCCCUAGUACGAGAGGACCGGGAUGGACGAACCAAUGGUGUUCCUGUUGUUCCGCCAGGGGCAAUGGCAGGGUAGCUAUGUUCGGAAAGGAUAACCGCUGAAAGCAUCUAAGCGGGAAGCCCACCUCAAGACUAGUUCUCCCCGGGACUUCGGUCCCCUGAAGGUCCGUCGAAGACUACGACGUUGAUAGGCAGGAUGUGUAAGCACAGCAAUGUGUUCAGCUAACCUGUACUAAUUGACCGUGCGGCUUGACCAUAAAA